rnacentral:rRNA from 1 species
UACGGGAGGCAGCAGUGGGGAAUAUUGCACAAUGGGCGCAAGCCUGAUGCAGCGACGCCGCGUGAGGGAUGACGGCCUUCGGGUUGUAAACCUCUUUCAGUAGGGAAGAAGCGAUAGUGACGGUACCUGCAGAAGAAGCGCCGGCUAACUACGUGCCAGCAGCCGCGGUAAUACGUAGGGCGCAAGCGUUAUCCGGAAUUAUUGGGCGUAAAGAGCUCGUAGGCGGUUUGUCGCGUCUGCCGUGAAAGUCCGGGGCUCAACUCCGGAUCUGCGGUGGGUACGGGCAGACUAGAGUGAUGUAGGGGAGACUGGAAUUCCUGGUGUAGCGGUGAAAUGCGCAGAUAUCAGGAGGAACACCGAUGGCGAAGGCAGGUCUCUGGGCAUUAACUGACGCUGAGGAGCGAAAGCAUGGGGAGCGAACAGGAUUAGAUACCCUGGUAGUCCAUGCCGUAAACGUUGGGCACUAGGUGUGGGGGACAUUCCACGUUUUCCGCGCCGUAGCUAACGCAUUAAGUGCCCCGCCUGGGGAGUACGGCCGCAAGGCUAAAACUCAAAGGAAUUGACGGGCCCGCACAAGCGGCGGAGCAUGCGGAUUAAUUCGAUGCAACGCGAAGAACCUUACCGAGGCUUGACAUGGACCGGAAACACCUGGAAACAGGUGCCCCGCUUGCGGCCGGUUCACAGGUGGUGCAUGGUUGUCGUCAGCUCGUGUCGUGAGAUGUUGGGUUAAGUCCCGCAACGAGCGCAACCCUCGUUCCAUGUUGCCAGCGCGUAAUGGCGGGGACUCAUGGGAGACUGCCGGGGUCAACUCGGAGGAAGGUGGGGACGACGUCAAAUCAUCAUGCCCCUUAUGUCUUGGGCUUCACGCAUGCUACAAUGGCCGGUACAAAGGGUUGCGAUACUGUGAGGUGGAGCUAAUCCCAAAAAGCCGGUCUCAGUUCGGAUUGGGGUCUGCAACUCGACCCCAUGAAGUCAGAGUCGCUAGUAAUCGCGGAUCAGCAACGCUGCGGUGAAUACGUUCCCGGGCCUUGUACACACCGCC